rnacentral:rRNA from 1 species
AUGUCAUGGGAGAGGCUGUCCGCACCGAAGGAACAAGGAGGGAUGAGAUUUAGAUAGUUCGGAAAUUUUAAUGUAGCUCUGUUGGGCAAACAUGGUUGGCGAUUCUUGACUCGGCCGGACUCUUUAUGUUCUCAAGUAUUUAGAGAUAAAUACUUCCCUGAUGGGGAUUUUAUGCAAGCGCAUGCUCCUUCAUCGGCGUCGGCAACUUGGAAAUCUAUUAUCGCAGGGCGCACGACACUGGAGAAGGGUCUCAUUAAACGUGUUGGUAGUGGCCAGAUGAUCUCCAUAUGGAACGACCGCUGGAUACCUACUACAUCGUUGCUCAAGCCCAUGGGCAGACAGGGGGCCGAUCAGCUUGAGAUGGUCUCCGACCUCAUCGAUGAUCAUACAAGAACAUGGGACAAUGAGUUGGUACGAAGGAACUUUUUUGCACCCGAUGCCGAGGCCAUACUGAAUAUACCAAUUCGGGUAGGUGGUGGUGACGACUUUCUAGCUUGGGCUCUAGAAAGGUCGGGCGAGUACUCUGUGAAAUCAGCCUAUCGCGCUCUUGUGACCCGAAACGAGCAUCCUGCUCUAAGGGAAGGGAUGGUAGUGGGAACUUCGUUGUCCGGAAAAUAG